rnacentral:lncRNA from 13 species
GUUCAAUGUCAUGACCCUCGACAAUUCACUGGAGGCAGCCACAACUAACGAGUGGGUGUUAAUGCUUGAGACUAAACGUCUCGCCUUCAAGCUACUUUGCUGGAGGUUCCCUUGGCCAUCUCCCGCUCUCUAAUGAUCAUCCCCGGGUCUCCCUGCAAUGUAUAAGAGAACUGAGGCUCGGACAGAAAGAAUGACGUUACCGAAAGUGGCUUUGCUUCUGCCUUGCCAGCCCAUUGCGCACUGCCUGCCGUGGUUCCAGCCCUCGCUGCCUCUCUUGACUAGCGUAGACCUGCCAUUGCGCCAGGCUCCCAUCGCUGCCAUGCCCUUGAGUGUCUCAAAUGCAGCAACAGGAGCUGCUGUUUCACACACAAUUCCAGGAAGAGCUCUGCUGGAUUUCCAUUCAAAUUCUGCCUCCACUCCCUCCUAGACACGUGGCCUUCGGCAGGUCAUGUCGCCUGUCUAAGCCCCUCAAAUGUAAAACAAGAAUAUAAAACUUCACAUGAGAGAGAAAGCAAAUGUAGCCAAAGGUUAGCAUUUGGUGAAUUUAGGAGUUCCUUAUGCUGUUCUUGUAGCUCUUCUGCAGAUUUGGGGAAGAGGGAGUUUAUAAGUGAAAGCACUGAGAUAUUCUGUAUUCUAGGCUUUAUGGUCUAAUACCACUGAGUUUAUUUUUUGAAAUAAAUAAUGCUGGACUCCUGAAAAAAAAAAAAGA